UACAGAGGUCUCAAGCGUUGUUCGGAUUCAUUGGGCGUAAAGGGUGCGUAGGCGGCGCGGUAAGUCGGGUGUGAAAUCUCGGGGCUUAACUCCGAAACUGCAUUCGAUACUGCCGUGCUUGAGGACUGGAGAGGAGACUGGAAUUUACGGUGUAGCGGUGAAAUGCGCAGAUAUCAGGAGGAACACCGGUGGCGAAGGCGGCUUGCUGGGCCUUACCUGACGCUGAGGAGCGAAAGCGUGGGGAGCGAACAGG
rnacentral:rRNA from 1 species